CGCUGCAAAUAAAACGAUGAAGGAGUAAUUGUUAAAAUGAGUUUUUGACUCAAAUGUAUCAAACAUUGUCUCUUUUAUCAUUUGUAUUAUUUUGAAAUACAAUUAGCAUAGCAAUAACACAAAAGCAAACUGACAUAUUAUCCUUCCCAUUAAUACUAAAUAAUGCAGAUGAAUCAAGUGGUUCAAACGAUGAGAUGCUUGAAGCGUAUAUUGAUGACAGAUUUAUGAGUACUGUUUUCAUUUAUUUCGUGUUUAUGAAGGUCCGAUUCUGUCAACUGGAAAAAGGUUGACUGUAUGUGGAAAGUAAAUAAAAUUUAGCAAUUGUAUAAGAGCGGUUUAAAUUAAAUUUAAAUAGUAAUUUUUAUCGUGUUUUCACAUUAAUACCUUUGAGCAGGCACAAUAUUUAAAGCAGAUUCAUACUUGAUACAUUUACCCUUUCUUUUCCACACCGAAUGAAGUGAAGAACCUGAUGUGGAAAAUCUGUGGAGCAAGCCCAGCCCAGGAACCCGAUUGAAACGCUGCGGAUACAUGCACAACCACCUAUGAAUAACUCAAGGAAGGGACAAGCCAUCAUAAGAAAAUACAGCCGAGCCAAGUACGUAAAAUGAUAAAUACAAACAUAUAAGCUAUUCGACAUUGUAAUCAUUUUUCUAAUUUUAAAAUAAGAGCGAAAUUAAAUUUGGCGGGGGUUGAGGUGGAGUAUUUCUGAAAUCAA